rnacentral:rRNA from 1 species
CCUACGGGUGGCAGCAGUGGGGAAUAUUGCGCAAUGGGCGAAAGCCUGACGCAGCGACGCCGCGUGAGGGAUGAAGGUCUUCGGAUCGUAAACCUCUGUCAGCAGGGAAGAACGGUCACUGUGCUAAUCAGCAGUGAAUUGACGGUACCUGCAAAGGAAGCACCGGCUAACUCCGUGCCAGCAGCCGCGGUAAUACGUAGGGGGCAAGCGUUAUCCGGAUUUACUGGGUGUAAAGGGAGCGUAGACGGCUGUGCAAGUCUGAAGUGAAAGCCCAGGGCUCAACCCUGGGACUGCUUUUGAAACUGUGGGGCUAGAGUGCUGGAGAGGUAAGUGGAAUUCCUGGUGUAGCGGUGAAAUGCGUAGAUAUUAGGAGGAACACCAGUGGCGAAGGCGGCUUACUGGACAGUAACUGACGUUGAGGCUCGAAAGCGUGGGGAGCAAACAGGAUUAGAUACCCUAGUAGUC